UGUUACGUCUGUUUGACUCUGAGCUAACUUUGUUGCAUUUCACAAUUCCAGUUUCAUUCUCACACAUGUCAGUAUAUUUUCAAUUCCUUUUGCUGUAUUUAAAUGGUUCACUUCUCACAACUGUGUGAGAAUUCUAUAAAAUAAUCGAUGACUCACUUAAAAUCCAACAGUCGACUCUAUGUGCGCAGCUGCAAUAUAGCUUCUUUUAUUGUUCAACUUCAACCCGCCCAAUUGGAAUAUUGCUAGCUUAGUGUUCGGUUUAGUUCGCACUUUCAAAAACAUAAGCCGCAACGUUUGUAAGCCAAAUUCAUAUUUUUUUUUACAAUGCAUUUACAGCGGUAAGUUCGAACCCAGCCGCUUUUAGCGUGAUUCUGUUCUGUUAUCAUUCUUAGUGGCUGAGCCAAAAACAAAACUAAAACGGCCGUUUCCUAUAUAAGGGAAGCAUCACACAGAAAAUUGCAUCAUUCACAUUAGCGUUGUGGAAUUAAUUGGAAGCAGUGUUAUUAUUCGAAGUUAUUCUCAGUGAACUUUUUGCAUCGAUAAAUAUGCCAAACAAAUCGGAUCAACAUGGGGCCGCUAUUCGCCAAGGCGUCCAGGCGAACCCCAAUGCCAAGGGAGAGGCAAGAGCAGAAGUAGUUCGAACGGCCGUACAACAGGCGAACGCUCAAGGUCAAGGUAAAAAGUGAAUCAUUGAUCACAUUGUACCAAUUACUUGAAUAAAUGUGUUACCUUGAGUAAAAUAUAAUAA